UCAAAGUUUUGGUUAUCUUUCUUGUAAUAAUGACUUAUUAUACCGGCGCCUAAAGCGUCGGCCACAAUGUUCAUCGUGGUCCGAAAACGAUCUCUGUGAAAUAACGUUUUCAUCCAUCACAUCUCUUGAAAUCAGGGAAACGUCUUCCACUGGUACCCCGACGGAGUUCAACACCAUAAUAAGCAUUACGUAACCGCCACUAGGUAAUCCCGCGGCACCAAUGCACGAUAUAGUACAGGCACACGCGAGGGUGAAAAUUGAAAGGAUUCAUCAUGAAAACCCUUUAAUCCCGACGUGUUCAAUGCUAUAAUCGGAUUGAAUCGGUGGAAAGAAGGUGGUCUGAGGCGCGUCGUAAUUAACCGGCGCAUUAUACUAACUGGGAACACGGGAAUGCGUGAAAUACAAUGGAAAUGGUGAAUGGCAAAAUGAGGGCUGGAAUCGCGAAUGGAAUCAGAAAAUGAGGAAGCGACGUGGAACGGAAACGGUUUCUGAAUCAUUGAAAUCAGCAAGCGGAGUACACGAUCAGUUUCUGGCAGGGCGUACGCGUCGAACGCGAUACGAGAGAAUCGUGUGUCGUCUUUAUUCCGGCUCGGCACGACAGGCCGGUAUCUGAGUCUCCGCAUCUAAUAAUAAGCGGGUCGAGCAUUGUUGGAAAAUGGGUCGAACGCGCCGGCAUCUACCGAUGUAUCGAACACGCCGUGCGCAUACGUGCACAUGCACGAGAUGCAUACGACCGGUUGCAUAAUAUCCCUCCUCGCUGUCCCAUCCCCCUCGAGCUGUCCGAACCGUGACACGUGCCGGGGAGAAUGAAUGCCUUCAGGAAUCGGCACAGUUUCUAACUUUGCCCGGGAGAGAGCAAGAUCCCCUGCAGUCAGCCACUUCACAGUGCCCCCGUUUUACAAACGAAACUGUAUUAGAAAACUGUUUUUUUUUUUUUAUCAAUCUUUAUACAGUAAUCUCCGGUUGUGGUCACAUUUUCCUGCGGAUAUACGGCCGUGAGUCAUCUUCUCCAAUUCCUGGAAGUGCUCGUUCAACGCGAGCCCCAUAUCUUAUCUAUGUUUAUUCUUCCUCUCUGUUAAUAUUGUGCUAGCACAAUCACAACUGUUUAUUAUUAUUCUUAUUAUUAUUUAUUAUUACACGGGUUAGAAAAUCCUUUUAUAUACAUGGAAAUAUACAUAUAACGCGCAAGGGAAUUACAGUAGCAGAAAUAGAAUAUACAAGAUGUUCCGUAAAAAGUGUUAGAGCCGAAAAUAGCAGAUUAGGAGGGUCAUUCUGAACAACAAUUUCCUUUUGCAAAAUACAAAGUGAGGCAUGGUUUCUUAAUUAUUAACGAAAAAUACUGUACUGUAUACUGAAAGUUUACUUUUUCCUAUGCUACGUUCUUGAAUGACGAGCGAUUCUAAGAGACCCAUCCCAUCGGAUUUAUGGCCAAGCCCAGCCCCUAUGGGUGCCCACAUAUCCGGAAAUUACUGUAGUUGCAUGUGAAAUCGAAACAAAUGUUUCAAUAACUGACAUACAUUCGGAUAUUUACGUCUUAAUAAAAUUGUGUCAUCGUUAGACUUAAUUACGUUUUG